GAUCCACUCGUUUCCCUGGGGCCACUCCUGAUCCACUCCUGGAUCCACCUGGGUCCGUUCCACCAAAGUCCACACUCACACAGGUCCACGUUCACACACACAGGUCCACACUCACACACACAGGUUGUUCACACACACAGGUCCACACUCACACACACAGGUUGUUGUUCACACACACAAGAUCCACACUCACACACACAGGUUGUUGUUCACACACACAGGUCCGGCAUCUCGCUGAAUUUAAUUAAGGAUCAGCCUGAAAUGAAAUGGCUCCAGCAGGGAAGCGGAUGCCUCUGAGACAUUCUGAGGACAGGAGGCAAGAGACCUUGGUGUUAUUUGGUACUGUUGGUCCUGAUAGUCAGGAUCAAGCAGAAGAAUAUGAAUGAAUGAAGCCUGAGGAAAAAUUAGUCUAGCAAGGGGAGCCCGAUUUCUGUGCUGAAACAUAUGGCCACCUACAACCAGCAAAGAUACUGGACUUCUUUUUACAUACAGCGGUGCCCAGACCAAGCGUCAGGCCUCAGUGAGCUGCAUGUGAACGUUUUGUUGCUUACCAAGUUUUCUGGAACCCUGACAUCCCCUACAAAUAAAAUCAACAUUGUGAACGGUCUCAUUUUAGACAUGAAAGGAAAGGACCUAAAGUCUGGCUGGUGUCUGAGGUGGUGGCUGUGGAAAGUUCCAGAGUGGUACCAAGGAAAUCUGGUUCAGCUGCAUCUGCGUGAGGAAGACACUGUCCGAAACUCGCCUGGACAAGUCCAGUUUCAUUCUUUGCAGCACGACUAGCUCCUGUGCGCUGCGGAAGACUCGGGCUGAUCUGAAAGCGCCUCUCCUAUUCUGGACUCUCAGGUUUUAAGUACGUCUUCCGCACCUGCAGAUGUAAAACACACGUUGCUAUUAUUUUCCUCGAUUACGUUGACAUUGCCUGAAAAUGAAUACAAAACAUUGCCUUGCAAAGAUUUUGUACCUUUUUUUUUUCUUUCUUUCUUUCUUUUUGUGAUUGUGCUGGGAAACAAAUGUAUGCUUUUUAUAUUUUUGAGAAAAAUCUAGAGUGGCCACAUGUUCACAGCACGCAUUCCCACACUUCUUGUCCAC
rnacentral:lncRNA from 1 species